GCGCCCGUAGCUCAGUGGAUAGAGCAGCCGCCUUCUAAGCGGUAGGUCGGGGGUUCGAGUCCUCCCGGGCGCACCA
rnacentral:tRNA from 1 species